UACGUAGGGGGCAAGCGUUGUCCGGAAUUACUGGGCGUAAAGCGUGCGCAGGCGGUUGUGUAAGUCUGUCGUGAAAUCCCCGGGCUCAACCUGGGAAUUGCGAUGGAGACUGCACGGCUAGAGUGUGUCAGAGGGGGGUAGAAUUCCACGUGUAGCAGUGAAAUGCGUAGAUAUGUGGAGGAACACCGAUGGCGAAGGCAGCCCCCUGGGAUAACACUGACGCUCAUGCACGAAAGCGUGGGGAGCAAACAGG
rnacentral:rRNA from 1 species